rnacentral:rRNA from 1 species
CCGCACAAGCGGUGGAGCAUGUGGUUUAAUUCGAUGCAACGCGAAGAACCUUACCUACUCUUGACAUCCAGAGAACUUUCCAGAGAUGGAUUGGUGCCUUCGGGAACUCUGAGACAGGUGCUGCAUGGCUGUCGUCAGCUCGUGUUGUGAAAUGUUGGGUUAAGUCCCGCAACGAGCGCAACCCUUAUCCUUGUUUGCCAGCACUUCGGGUGGGAACUCCAGGGAGACUGCCGGUGAUAAACCGGAGGAAGGUGGGGACGACGUCAAGUCAUCAUGGCCCUUACGAGUAGGGCUACACACGUGCUACAAUGGCGCAUACAGAGGGCGGCCAACUUGCGAGAGUGAGCGAAUCCCAAAAAGUGCGUCGUAGUCCGGAUCGGAGUCUGCAACUCGACUCCGUGAAGUCGGAAUCGCUAGUAAUCGUGGAUCAGAAUGCCACGGUGAAUACGUUCCCGGGCCUUGUACACACCGCCCGUCACACCAUGGGAGUGGGCUGCAAAAGAAGUA